GGCGGCGUGCUUAACACAUGCAAGUCGAACGGAACACCGGUUUCGGAUUGGUGUUAGUGGCGGACGGGUGAGUAACGCGUGGGUAACCUGCCUCAGACCGGGGAUAACGGUUGGAAACGACCGCUAAUACCGCAUAAGCCCACAGUGCCGCAUGGCACAGGGGGAAAAGAUUCAUUGGUUUGAGAUGGACCCGCGUCUGAUUAGCCAGUUGGUGGGGUAACGGCCUACCAAAGCGACGAUCAGUAGCCGACCUGAGAGGGUGAUCGGCCACAUUGGGACUGAGACACGGCCCAAACUCCUACGGGAGGCAGCAGUGGGGAAUAUUGCGCAAUGGGGGAAACCCUGACGCAGCAAACCGCCGCGUGAGUGAGGAUGUAUUUCGGUAUGUAAAGCUCUAUCAGCGGGGACGAAGAUGACGGUACCCGCAGAAGAAGUCCCGGCUAACUACGUGCCAGCAGCAGC
rnacentral:rRNA from 1 species